rnacentral:lncRNA from 1 species
AAAAUCAAUGUCUAAAAAUCUCUUUACAAGUCUAUUCUCAAAUCUCAUUCUUUGAUUUACCAAAGAAUGUGCAAAGUCUCCAUAAGUGCAUGAUUUUGUAUCUUAGGGUAUGAUUUUAAUCCAAGUUGACAACUAGUCCUCUCCGGGUAUCAAUUCUUGGCUUUUUGAGGUAAAUUUUGCUAACAUCUACUCUUAACUUCUUUGUACAUAUGUCUAUAUUAUAUUAU